rnacentral:rRNA from 1 species
CGUAGGGUGCAAGCGUUAAUCGGAUUACUGGGCGUAAAGCGUGCGCAGGCGGUUUUGUAAGUCUGACGUGAAAUCCCCGGGGCUCAACCUGGGAAUUGCGUUGGAGACUGCAAGGCUAGAAUCUGGCAGAGGGGGGUAGAAUUCCACGUGUAGCAGUGAAAUGCGUAGAGAUGUGGAGGAACACCGAUGGCGAAGGCAGCCCCCUGGGUCAAGAUUGACGCUCAUGCACGAAAGCGUGGGGGAGCAAACAGGAUU